ACCACACCCGGUACUAGCAAGUACCUAAUGAAGUGGCCGAUCCGUUGGGAGCCAUGCACCUUGUAUAUCAGGGUAUUUCAUCAUGUAGAGCAAGGCCCAGCGCAGUGUGGUCGAGGAGGUCUCAGUUCCAGCGAGAAACAGGUCCAAAGCACACAUGACCAGGUUGAACUCGUCAAAGCCAGCCUCUGGGUCAUGUGCAUUCUGGCAAGUGAAAGAACAAAAGAGUAAGCUUCUCCUACCUGUCCCCAUAUGGAACCAUCCAGCUGAAUUGUUUCAGACAACAACUUCAGGAGCAGUUGGAAAUUUUGAUCACUAUAAUCAAACCUGUGUCCAAACACCAUGAAGCAGAUAAUGUUGGAGACUGCAUUGUGGAGAAGCAAGUGGGGAUCAAAGGGGUUACCUAUGAAUGAAGAAUAAGACAAGGAAUCUGCUCUCCUCACAGAUGACGGACUCCAAGGAUUUCUUUCCCAAUCCAAAGUUUCUCAUGGUGUUUGAAUUUAAGAGGGAAGUCCACACGUGGAGACUGAAGGAAUUGAAAGAGUGAAAGAUUCUGUAUGGAGGAAUGGACAAAUCUGUUUCUACCAGUAUAUUCACCUAUCUCAUUUAACACUUUAAGAAGACGCAGUGGUAAAGUGCAACCAAAAAAUUCUUCCCCGAGCAAGUGUAUUAGCAUGAAAGAAUGACAUUUUCCUGUUCUUGAGCAUACAGUACAGUUCAUUACCUGUUUGUUUUGUACAGCCCUUUUGCUGAUCUUUAACAAUAUUGCUGACAAUUUGAGAGGGGAAUGACCGGUAUGAUGAAAAGACUUGCC